rnacentral:rRNA from 1 species
GAAACCUUAUGCUUACAAGCAGAGGGAGCGAAAGUGACCUCGUACUUUUUGUAGAACGGGCCAACGAGUUAUGGUAUGCAGCGAGGUUAAGGUGCUGGAGCACCGGAGCCGUAGGGAAACCGAGUCUUAAUAGGGCAAAAGUUGCAUGCUGUAGACCCGAAACCGGGUGACCUAUCCAUGAGCAGGUUGAAGUAACUGUAAUAGGUUAUGGAGGACCGAACCCAUAUCUGUUGAAAAAGGUUGGGAUGACUUGUGGAUAGCGGUGAAAUUCCAAUCGAACUCGGAUAUAGCUGGUUCUCCUCGAAAUAGCUUUAGGGCUAGCCUCGUGAAAAGAUAUCCGGAGGUAGAGCACUGAAUGUUCUAGGGGCCUUCACCGGUUACCGAAAACUAUCAAACUCCGAAUGCCGGAAUAUUAUACACGGGAGUCAGAC